AGAGUUUGAUCCUGGCUCAGGACGAACGCUGGCGGUGUGCUUCACACAUGCAAGUCGAACGAGGUAGCAAUACCUAGUGGCGGACGGGUGAGUAACGCGUGGGAAUCUGCCUUUAGAUGGGGGAUAACGAGCCGAAAGGUUCGCUAAUACCGCAUAUGCCGCAAGGUGAAAGGAGUAAUCCGUCUAAAGAUGAGCCCGCGUCCGAUUAGCUAGUUGGUGGGGUAAAGGCCUACCAAGGCGACGAUCGGUAGCUGGUCUGAGAGGAUGAUCAGCCACAAUGGGACUGAGACACGGCCCAUACUCCUACGGGAGGCAGCAGUGGGGAAUUUUACGCAAUGGGGGAAACCCUGACGUAGCGACACCGCGUGAGCGAAGAAGCCCCUUGGGGUGUAAAGCUCUGUCAGCUGGAACGAAACAAAUGACGGUACCAGCAGAGGAAGCAUCGGCUAACUACGUGCCAGCAGCCGCGGUAAGACGUAGGAUGCGAGCGUUGUCCGGAUUUAUUGGGCGUAAAGAGUUCGUAGGUGGUUUGUUAAGUUUGAUGUUAAAGAUCGGGGCUCAACCUCGGGACAGCAUUGAAUACUGGCAGACUUGAGCAUGGUAGAGGCUAGUGGAAUUCCCAGUGUAGCGGUGAAAUGCGUAGA
rnacentral:rRNA from 1 species